AUUGAACGCUGGCGGCAUGCCUAACACAUGCAAGUCGAACGGCAGCAUGAAUAGGGGUAACCUUAUUUGAUGGCGAGUGGCGGACGGGUGAGUAAUAUGUAGGAAUCUACCUAGAGGAGGGGGAUAACUUGGGGAAACCCAAGCUAAUACCACAUAAGCCCUACGGGGGAAAGCAGGGGACCGAAAGGCCUGGCGCCUUAUGAUGAGCCUACAUAGGAUUAGCUAGUUGGUGGGGUAAAGGCCUACCAAGGCGACGAUCCGUAGCUGGUCUGAGAGGAUGAUCAGCCACACUGGGACUGAGACACGGCCCAGACUCCUACGGGAGGCAGCAGUGGGGAAUAUUGGACAAUGGGCGAAAGCCUGAUCCAGCAAUGCCGCGUGUGUGAAGAAGGCCUUAGGGUUGUAAAGCACUUUCAGUAGGGAGGAAGGGUGUAACGCUAAUAUCGUUGCACAUUGACGUUACCUACAGAAGAAGCACCGGCUAACUCUGUGCCAGCAGCCGCAGUAA
rnacentral:rRNA from 1 species